AUCUCAAAAAAACUAAAUAAAGUUGUCUUCGUCUUAAAGCAAUUAUUAUUGUUUUAGUCUUAAUUCGCGCGCUUAAAAAUACAUAAAAAUGCUUAAUCUCUCAUGAUCGUUUCGACUGCUCCCCCCUCCCCUCUCAUGCAAUGGACUAUUCCAUGUUACUGCGCAUGUGCAGUCGUGAUUCAGGAAGACGGUAGCAAAACAAACUAGUUGGCGCGUUUUUGAGCUGAAAACUACUAGUUACGCUAGUGGAGCGGAGAAGAGGAGAAGAGGAGAAGAGGAGAAGGAGAGAAGAGGAGAAGGAGAGAGGACAGAGGACAGAGGACAGCAAACUGUUUUUGGUUUUUUUUAUCAAAACUACCAAAGGAGUCAACUUUGUUUCCCAGUGACACCGAAUGUAGCCGCAGGUCCUCGACAACAGCAAGAGCCAGAAGCUGCUGUCAGUAGCACCGCUGUCAGUGUCAGCCGAGGAGGAGAUGAAGCGGAGAGAGACACAGGGACGCUUUUCAUCACAAACAUUGCAGAGAGAGACCUGCAGAACCCGCUGAGACUCUGACACAUCCGAGGAACAGGAAACAUCUGAUUGGUCGGACCCUCAGCAGAGACCACAGACCAGCUGACGGCUGCAGCAGGACCGAGAUACCUGGGCAACACCUGCAGGAUGAGACAGAUUUCACGUUCUUCAUCUGGAGGCAGAUCAACCCAACGACACCGAGAUUCUUCUGUGGCAGCAGCUGAAUGAUGGAGGAGGUGGAGAGCCCUGAGAGUGCCUCAGUGUGCCAAUCAGACGCUGUUGUUUUCUUCUUCGGGUGGAGUCGGCAGGUCGUGUUGUCGUUGACUCUGCAGGAUGUGACAUUAAUGAGGUUCCUCUCGCUCCGUGGUUCUGGAGCAGAUGAAUCUGUGGAAGCAGAAAAUCAGUGUAAGAAUCCUGGAGAAGUGUGAGCGGGCGGCGCCGCUGCCUCUCGGACCGGCUGCUCACAUCUAUCAGCAGAGCUCAUUCACACCCAGUCCAAACCGGUACCGCCUGAAAAACAGCCAUAAUUUAGUCCGUCCUUAUGUAUUUAUCAAGAUGAAUAAUCAGGAUGAAGAAGCCCCCCCGCCCGGCGCCAGAGCCGAGGAUCCGUCAGCGCCGGUCGCUCCGCCACAUCAAUAUUCAGACGAUCAGCGGCCCAUGAGUAAACAGAAAGAAGCGCUGGCCUCGGCAUAUUUAAAACGCAGCCAUUUUAGCGCGGCGCUAUUAACCGAUCUGCCCGUUAUUUAUUUCCUUCCUUGUUAUUAACGCCGGACGUGAUAUUAUUCUAAUUAUAUCAGGCCCAAUCAGCAGUACUGCCCGUCUCUGGCUCAUUUCCAUUAGCUUUGUCUUUCACACUGUGAUACUAAUUCAACGAGACAUCAAACAUGUAAAUGGAUCCGAGCUGCAGAGGUCAGGAGGGUUUUCCUCUCCGAGUCUCUGCGCUCUGUUAUCGCUGCGAUGUAAUUGUGUUUGUCCCCCGCCGGAUGACUGAUCGUCCCGCGCUGCGUCCCGUCAGAUCAACGGCACACUAAUAUGUUAGUUUGCUCUCUAAUGCUAAUAUGUGUUUUGUUGUGGACGAGGAUCCGCCGGACUCAAGUGUCUGUCUCACACAGUCGCAGGACGACAAGAGGACGGACAGAAGAGACGAGACAGUGAUGGACAGGAGGGAAGACACGAGAGGACAGAGACAACAACAGAGGACGUGAUAGAGACGAGGAUGUUGGUGACGGGACAACAGAGGACAGGGACAAAACAUGAGAUGAUGAAGAGAACAACAAGAUAGGAAGACACAGAGGACGACACUAAGAGAUGUCAUGGAAGACAAGUGAAGAUGAUAAGAAGAACGGCAUGAGGCCGCAGGACAGACAGCAAAACAAGGGACAGACAGCAUUAAACAGAACGUGGGCGAGGGACAACAAGACAGAGGAGAGAAGACACAAGAGGACAGAAAAAGACAUGACGAGACAAAGAUGGUGGCGAAGGCACAACAGAGGACAACAUGGGACGGGACGAGACUAAAGGGAGAGCAACACAGAACAGAGAGAAGACAGAUGAUACGGAGGACAUCAAAUCAAUGAUGGGAAGACAGCAAGAGGACAGGGAAACAGACAGAGAGGUGAAACAAGAUGACAAAGAAAAGAGACGGACAUCAACUCCACAUGAUGAGGACAACAACAAACUGGGACACAAAACAAGAAAUGACAGAGUGGAAGACACAGGACAGCAGUGAGGACAACAUGAAGACAGACAAGAAACUAAUGGACGCCAUGAGACGAUUGUGAGGACACGACAAGGACGAUAACACAAGAUGACGACGAGGACAUUUGAAGACACACAAUACAUGUUGUUGUCCAACUGUUUGACCCGAUGAAUAAACAGGUGAAUCAGCUAAUGAGCUGCUAACAUCCGUGUACCAAAGAGCUAACCGCUAACACAGAGCUAACCGCUAACACAGAGCUAACCGCUAACACAGAGCUAACUGCUAACACAGAGCUAACUGCUAACAGAGUGACUCUUCUUUUUUUAUCAGUUUACCUCGAUGAACAAAGGAUAAAUUACACUUUUCAUGAAUUGGACUUGAAUACCUUUAAGUGGUACUGUGUGUGCAUGUGUGUGUGCAUGUGUGUGUGCAUGUGUGUGUGCGUGUGUGUGGAGGUGGAGGAGGAGUCUGGAUAAUAGUAUUUAAUUUAUCACUUAAAGUGCUGGGCGACCUCUGGGCGUCCCGGCGCCUCCAUCACCUCCUCAGCUGCUCCCUUUAAUUGUCGGGGCUGAGAGAGUAAAUGAAAAUCAACCGGCCUCAUAAUGAAUGGAGGCCAUUACCACACACACACACACACACACAGGCAAGCACGCACGCACACACACA